GGGCCUUUACUGACGCUCAAGUGCGAAAGCUAGGGGAGCAAACGGGAUUAGAUACCCCGGUAGUCCUAGCCGUAAACGAUGAUAACUAGUUGUGGGAGGUAUCGACCCCUUCCGUGACGCCGCUAACGCAUUAAGUUAUCCGCCUGGGGAGUACGGCCGCAAGGUUAAAACUCAAAGGAAUUGACGGGGACCCGCACAAGAGGUGGAGUAUGUGGUUUAAUUCGACGCUACGCGAAAAACCUUACCUGGGCUCGAACGACUGGUGGUAAGCUUUAUGAAAGUAGAGCUGACCCGCAAGGGAGCCAGCCGAGGUGCUGCAUGGUUGUCGUCAGCUCGUGUCGUGAGAUGUUGGGUUAAGUCCCGCAACGAGCGCAACCCCUAUCCUGUGUUGCCUAGCAAUAGGAUCUCUCAGGAGACCGCCGCGGAUAACGUGGAGGAAGGUGGGGAUGACGUCAAAUCAUCAUGGCCUUUAUGUCCUGGGGGACGCACGUACUACAAUGGUAUAGACAGAGGGCAGCAAUACCGUAAGGUGGAGCCAAUCCCUAAACUAUGCCCCAGUUCAGAUUGUGGGCUGCAAUUCGCCCACAUGAAGCCGGAAUC
rnacentral:rRNA from 1 species